rnacentral:rRNA from 1 species
GCCAGACUCCUACGGGAGGCAGCAGUGAGGAAUAUUGGUCAAUGGCCGAGAGGCUGAACCAGCCAAGUCGCGUGAGGGAAGACGGCCCUACGGGUUGUAAACCUCUUUUGUCGGGGAGCAAAGCGAGUCACGUGUGACUCAUUGAGAGUACCCGAAGAAAAAGCAUCGGCUAACUCCGUGCCAGCAGCCGCGGUAAUACGGAGGAUGCGAGCGUUAUCCGGAUUUAUUGGGUUUAAAGGGUGCGCAGGCGGGCUGUUAAGCCGGCGGUAAAAAUUCAGGGCUCAACCCUGUCGAGCCGUCGGAACUGGCAGCCUUGAGUGGGCGAGAAGUAUGCGGAAUGCGUGGUGUAGCGGUGAAAUGCAUAGAUAUCACGCAGAACGCCGAUUGCGAAGGCAGCAUACCGGCGCCCGACUGACGCUGAGGCACGAAAGCGUGGGGAUCGAACAGGAUUAGAUACCCCUGUAA